CUGCGGUUGAUUUGGGCAGUAGUAGUAGACUAUUUGGGCCUGUUGGCGACCAGCGUCGACGUUAAAGAAAGGGUUACCUGGGAAAUGGAGUUAGAAGGAAAAGCAAUGAGAAAUAAAAUCGUGUAUCAUGCCAGGGAGACGUAGCAAUAAGGGGCAGGCAUGGCAGCGGAGACCCCCACAUCUUCAGAUGCAAGUACAAAGCAACGGGAGGACCCAAUGUAGAGUCAGGGCUUGAUCUCAAAACCCACACCAGUGAUGGACCCUCCAGCAAGGCAGCUGAGGCCUCUCAGAUUCUGUCCUUAAGAAUGGCCAUCCCGAUGCUCAAGCUCUGCCCAGUGCAGAAGAGACCCUCCUCCUGGAUGCCUGGGAAAGACAGACUCCUUCUUGCCUUAGGAUCCAGAUGUAGAACUCUCAGCUCCUUCUCCAGUACCGUGUCUGCCUGCAAUAUGGCCAUGGUUCUCACCAAGAUGACAAUGAACUGAAUGAACCUCUGAAACUGCAGCAAGAUGUACAGCUUUCCUUCCUUGUGUUUUUUCUUUUUCUUUCUUUCU